GACGAACGCUGGCGGCGCGCCUAACACAUGCAAGUCGAACGAGAGAUGAAGAGCUUGCUCUUCAAAUCGAGUGGCGAACGGGUGAGUAACGCGUGAGGAACCUGCCUCAAAGAGGGGGACAACAGUUGGAAACGACUGCUAAUACCGCAUAAGCCCACGGCUCGGCAUCGAGCAGAGGGAAAAGGAGCAAUCCGCUUUGAGAUGGCCUCGCGUCCGAUUAGCUAGUUGGUGAGGUAACGGCCCACCAAGGCGACGAUCGGUAGCCGGACUGAGAGGUUGAACGGCCACAUUGGGACUGAGACACGGCCCAGACUCCUACGGGAGGCAGCAGUGGGGAAUAUUGCACAAUGGGGGAAACCCUGAUGUAGCGACGCCGCGUGGAGGAAGAAGGUCUUCGGAUUGUAAACUCCUGUUGUUGAGGAAGAUAAUGACGGUACUCAACAAGGAAGUGACGGCUAACUACGUGCCAGCAGCCGCGGUAAAACGUAGGUCACAAGCGUUGUCCGGAAUUACUGGGUGUAAAGGGAGCGCAGGCGGGAGAACAAGUUGGAAGUGAAAUCCAUGGGCUCAACCUAUGAACUGCUUUCAAAACUGUUUUUCUUGAGUAGUGCAGAGGUAGGCGGAAUUCCCGGUGUAGCGGUGGAAUGCGUAGAUAUCGGGAGGAACACCAGUGGCGAAGGCGGCCUACUGGGCACCAACUGACGCUGAGGCUCGAAAGUGUGGGUAGCAAACAGGAUUAGAUACCCUGGUAGUCCACACCGUAAACGA
rnacentral:rRNA from 1 species